rnacentral:rRNA from 1 species
GAUGAACGCUAGCGGCAGGCCUAAUACAUGCAAGUCGAGGGGCAGCGGGGUAGCAAUACUGCCGGCGACCGGCGCACGGGUGCGUAACACGUAUGCAACCUACCUUAAACUGGGAGAUAGCCCGGGGAAACUCGGAUUAAUACCCCAUAAUACAUUGGUUCACAUGAAUUGAUUGUUAAAGAUUUAUCGGUUUAAGAUGGGCACGCGUUCGAUUAGCUAGUUGGUAAGGUAACGGCUUACCAAGGCUACGAUCGAUAGGGGGUCUGAGAGGAUGAUCCCCCACACUGGUACUGAGAUACGGACCAGACUCCUACGGGAGGCAGCAGUAGGGAAUAUUGGUCAAUGGAGGCAACUCUGAACCAGCCAUGCCGCGUGUAGGAAGAAGGCGUUCUGCGUUGUAAACUACUUUUGAUUGGGAAGAACAUACAGUUUGCGAACUGUACUGACGGUACUAUUAGAAUAAGCACCGGCUAACUCCGUGCCAGCCGCCGCGGUAA